AUCUGUUGGGUUGACGAUGGGAUGGAUGGCUUUUGAAAUGGUCAUGGAGAAUCGGGAGGUGUUCUGUUUGUGUUGUCACAAGGUUAAGUGUGAGUGGCUUGAACGGUUUAUGGUGAGGUUUAUGGUGAGCAAGCCCAAGAAUGUCCAGUUGUGACCGAUCAGAGGAGAGCAUUAAGAACAAGAAUGACCAAGUUUGGAAGCCAUUCUUGAAGAGCUGUGAGGAGUUUAUUCUGUAACUCAAAAGGUGGCCUUUUAUACGCUGACUUGGAUGCUUGAGUCACAGGAAAAGGCGCGUAGGUGUGCUGGCCUCUGUCGGGAAUACCAGCCGACGUUCUGAAGGCUAAGCCAGGAUGGUCAAGAGCUCAAAGGCAACCUUACAUCAAUAAAGCGGAUAAUGAAGCAGCAGCUAGCAGCUUCUGCUCAGUGUCCCCCGUGCUUCUCCCUGCGCUAGAGGGUAGAGACUUCAGAUGCUCUUAAAGAGGAAACUUUGUAGUAAAAAAAAAAUAAGUACAAAAGAGGAAGCACAAGUGUGUAACUUGUCGUGGGAAGCAGGCAGAGUGUGGCUCUAUAAAGACUGCCACCUUUUCUGGGCAUGACAGCAUCCAUGCUUCCGUGGGCCAGGAACCCAUGUUAGCCUGUGGUCAAGCCUGUGGUGAGUCUCUAGAGGCCAGCAGAAAGUUGGCAAGUCACACGGUCGUGCCCUGCCCCCCUGAGGUCCAGGAGGUAACUGGUACCUUUGCUUUUAUCAUAGUAUUUUUAGACCUAGAGUUUUCUUCUCUCAGAAUGUUGUAAGCAGGGAACUUUCUAAUCAGAAUUGAGCAUACGUUCUGUAAAAUCUGCCCAUAUAAUAUGGGGCAAAGUAUUUCUGAUCUGUGAACCUUGAAUUAUUCACCUUUACCUUUUUUUUUUUUUUAAAUUCCAUCUGUGAAGCACUCAACUCCCUAGAGUUGAGGUAACACACACAGCCUUUGUUCCUUUGUCUUUAAAAGUGCUUCUAUUUCAGCCUUCCCUGUGUUCUUUGUCGUAUUCCCCACCCACUCCUACACAUAAUAACCCUUAGCGUCUGUGUUGACCUCAUCUGUUCCCCAGCACCCCCACAAUAUGAUAUGGUACAGCUACAACCCAAAAUGUGGACCCUUGGGAGACUACUUGAUAGAACCUCGUUUGCUUUGAUAAUACCUCUGUUAAGAUAAUGGGAGACCCUUGGCAGGAGUGCAUGGAUUAUGCAGUAGUCCUCGCAAGACAAGCUGGAGAGAUGAUUCGUGAAGCUCUGAAAACUGAGAUGAACGUCAUGAUUAAAAGUUCUCCCGCCGACUUGGUGACCGUUACUGACCAAAAAGUUGAGAAAAUGCUCAUGUCGUCUAUAAAGGAAAAGUACCCAUAUCACGGGUACCGCUUUAUCGCUUUAUCGUGAGAGAGUUAAGUCUGGGCUGGAAUAAGCGUUUGUGUGAGGCAGAUGCUUUGGCCUCCGAGUGCUGAGAUUACAUUUGUACUGAUUUACAGGGCUUGCUUGUCACUGUUCAGCCAUUUCCUUUAAGGUGCCUUUAGGUCUUUUGUUAUGCGCUUGACAUUUUUGAGCAUUUUAAAGCUCCUAUUGAUUGUAAAAAAAAAAAAAAAAAAAAAACAUUU